rnacentral:rRNA from 1 species
GAUGAACGCUGGCGGCGUGCUUAACACAUGCAAGUCGAGCGGGCAAUUUAUCUAGCACUGAUUACUUCAAAUGGCUAUCGCCAGUGUAAUCAUGAAUUUCUACCUUAUAAUAAAGAAAAAAGAAAUUCAUGUACGCAAAUAGUGAUAACACAUUUUAGUGGAGUGAUGAGUGCUGGAUAAAUUGCUAGCGGCGGACGGGUGCGUAACACGUGGGUAACCUGCCCCUAUCACUGGGAUAACACACUGAAAAGUGUGCUAAUACCAGAUAACAUAAGCUUUUGGCAUCAUUAGCUUAUCAAAGAAUUUCGGAUAGGGAUGGGCCCGCGUCUGAUUAGCUUGUUGGUGAGGUAACGGCUCACCAAGGCAACGAUCAGUAGCCGACCUGAGAGGGUGAUCGGCCACACUGAAACUGAGACACGGUCCAGACUCCUACGGGAGGCAGCAGGUGGGGAAUAUUGCACAAUGGGCGAAAG